rnacentral:rRNA from 1 species
UACGUAGGGACCAAGCGUUGUUCGGAUUUACUGGGCGUAAAGGGCGCGUAGGCGGCAAUUCAAGUCAUCUGUGAAAUCUCCGGGCUUAACUCGGAAUGGUCAGGUGAUACUGCUUUGCUAGAGUGCAGAAGGGGCAAUCGGAAUUCUUGGUGUAGCGGUGAAAUGCGUAGAUAUCAAGAGGAACACCUGAGGUGAAGACGGGUUGCUGGGCUGACACGUGACGCUGACAGCGCGAAAGCUAGGGGAGCAAACGGG